rnacentral:rRNA from 1 species
GAUGAACGCUGGCGGCGUGCCUAAUACAUGCAAGUCGAGCGAACAGAUGAGAAGCUUGCUUCUCUGAUGUUAGCGGCGGACGGGUGAGUAACACGUGGGUAACCUACCUAUAAGACUGGGAUAACUCCGGGAAACCGGGGCUAAUACCGGAUAAUAUUUUGAACCGCAUGGUUCGAUAGUGAAAGACGGUUUCGGCUGUCACUUAUAGAUGGACCCGCGCCGUAUUAGCUAGUUGGUAAGGUAACGGCUUACCAAGGCGACGAUACGUAGCCGACCGGAGAGGGUGAGCGGCCACACUGGAACUGAGACACGGUCCAGACGCCCACGGGAGGCAGCAGUAGGGAAUCUUCCGAAAUGGGCGAAAGCCUGACGGAGCCACGCCGCGUGAGUGAUGAAGGUCUUCGGAUCGUAAAACUCUGUUGUUAGGGAAGAACAAAUUUGUUAGUAACUGAACAAGUCUUGACGGUACCUAACCAGAAAGCCACGGCUAACUACGUGCCAGCCGCCGCCGUAA